rnacentral:rRNA from 1 species
UAUGUGAUCGUCUCUCGCAUAUCAAUAAGCGGAGGAAAAGAAACUAACAAGGAUUCCCCUAGUAACGGCGAGUGAAGCGGGAAGAGCUCAAAUUUGAAAUCUUAAAGGGUUUCCCUUUACGAAUUGUAGUUUAAAGAAGUGUUUUCUGUUGAGGUUUUGGUAAAAGUUCUUUGGAAUAGGACAUCAUAGAGGGUGAGAAUCCCGUAUUUGACCUCUACUCUUCAACUUUGUGAUACACUUUCAAAGAGUCGGAUUGUUUGGGAAUGCAGUCCAAGAUGGGUGGUAAAUUUCAUCUAAAGCUAAAUAUUGGCGAGAGACCGAUAGCGAACAAGUACCGUGAGGGAAAGAUGAAAAGAACUUUGAAAAGAGAGUUAAACAGUACGUGAAAUUGUCAAAAGGGAAGCGUUUGACACCAGUGUUGUUUUUCUGAAAAUCAAUUAAAGAACUGUUUAUGCUAAGUUGUUUAGACUUUAUCAGCUAACUGUUUAGUUUUGAGCUUUUCUUUAAUGCACUUUUCAGUUAACAAGUCAACAUUCAAUUUCUUUUGCUGUAAAAAAGCUUGAGGAAGGUGGCUUGAGAUUCGUCUUAAGUGUUUAUAGCCUCUUGCCUAUGCAGUCGGAGAGAUUGAGGUCUGCAGCGUAGAUCCUUCGGGGCUAAAUGCAUUUGUGCUAAGUUAUAGCAUUUUAUAGACAACUUGUUGACUAUGAUUUGUCUUGUAGCUUACUCGCUUAUGUUAUUUUACCUACGCUUAGGAUGUUGAUCUACAGAGCGAGAGU